UGGGAAUCUUGCGCAAUGGGCGAAAGCCUGACGCAGCGACGCCGCGUGAGUGAUGAAGGCCUUCGGGUUGUAAAGCUCUGUGGAGGGAGACGAAUAAGGCGUGGCGAAUACCCACGUUGAUGACUGUAUCCCUUUAGCAAGCACCGGCUAACUCUGUGCCAGCAGCCGCGGUAAGACAGAGGGUGCAAACGUUGUUCGGAAUUACUGGGCGUAAAGCGCGUGUAGGCGGCUUGGCAAGUCGGGUGUGAAA
rnacentral:rRNA from 1 species